rnacentral:lncRNA from 10 species
GAUCGUGAUGUGGAGCUGCACUUCCUGGUUCCAAAUCCUGGCUCUUCCCCUCAUCCCUGGGUAAGUUGAGGGAUGAGAGCAAGAGAAGGUUGAUCCUGACUCAGAUCUCUGCAUGGGGCAUGUCACUGAUGACGGCGGCAUUCCCUGAGAGAGGGAACACUAAGUUUGAAGUUGGGCAUAGUGAGCACUAUUUUGGAUGAGUUAAGUUUAGAAGUGCCUGAAGACAUCCAAGUGGAAGAAGUGGCUGCAUGGACUGAAGAUACAGACUGGGAAACGUUAACACCAUCAAGGAACUGGAGUCCUGGGCACAGCCCUUCAAGACAGAGGAGAUUAUGGGGCUACUGAACGUAUCUUGGACUUUAGAGAAAGAAAGUGAAGCUGAGCUGAGAUCCAUUGGUUCUAUUUUGGAAAGAUGCACCCCGUGGCAUGACCUUCACAGCUCAGUUCUGGGGUCAAAGGAAUUUUCCAUUGCUCACACUGCCACCCAACUCUGGGGGCAUAAGUGUGGAAGUGGUACAGCACACAUGGAGAAGGGAUGGGAGGAGCAGGGGUGUGUAUCAGCUUAGCCGAUCCCCCGAGGAGCUGCCAAGCUUGCUACCCCAAGAACAAUGCCUCAUAGCUCUGUGACCUCUUCAAGAUUAAGGCUCUUUGAUCUCAGCCCUUCUGAAGUGGUUUGAACCAUAUUCUAUACAAAAUUGGUAACUCCCCCAUAAGAAUUGCUUUUUAAAUAUCCUGCUCUAUUUGAAAAAGGAAUUUUAAAAAUAAAGUUUACCCUUUUACUCUCUCCCAGCAAGUGAGAUAUUCAAAUAUGCUGCAAAGGGAGAAGAAGGAAGACGUGUGGUAUGGAAUCACCUAUGGAUAAGGUUGAGAACCAUGGGCUAGAUGCUAUGGAGACCAACGUAUCACUUACUAGGCUUUACUUUGUGCCAGGCACUGGAUUCGGCAUUACCCCAUUUAAGCCUCACUACCAUCCUUCAUGUUACUAUUCCACGUUGCCGCUCAGGAGAAACAAAAUUUUUUUAUUAAAUUCAAGUAACCUGAGGUCCCAUAUUUAGUAAGAGGCAGAGGAGUUAGAUGUGUCAAUAGCUAAAUUACAUGGCUGUGUCCUCUAGCUGGCCAGGGACUGACAACAUCAGUAUCACCUGGUGACUCUCCCAGGGGAGAUGUUUUUAAAAAUCUUUUCCAGUAAUUCUGUGCAACAUGGCAAUCUGAAACCAGUCUUUCAGACCUGGAAGUUCUUUAGAGACCACAGGACUCUCUUUGAUAUUUUUUCUUUUGAAUUUUUUUAAAAUACAGAA